UUUUGGCUGCACCCUCUUAAGACUAGCGAAUCCGCGGCCGCCUGCAGGUCGACGAUAUGACCGAGCGACCAACGCGUUACGUGUAUGGAACGAGGGUUCUACAGGGCCACCUAAAUAGCUCAGCGUAAUGAUGAUUAUAGCUGUUUCCUGUGGCAUGUAAAAGUGGCAUCACUUUUACAUUAAAAUUACGGUGGUAAUAGAUGAGUAUGCCGUCCCAUUAGUUAGUUGGUAAGGUAACGGCUUACCAAGGCAGCGAUGGGUAGGGGUCCUGAGAGGGAGAUCCCCCACACUGGUACUGAGAUACGGACCAGACUCCUACGGGAGGCAGCAGUGAGGAAUAUUGGACAAUGGAGGCAACUCUGAUCCAGCCAUGCCGCGUGCAGGAAGACUGCCCUAUGGGUUGUAAACUGCUUUUACAGAGGAAGAACCGCACCCACGUGUGGGUGUUUGACCGGUCUCUGCGAAUAAGGAUCGGCUAACUCCGUGCCACACCGCGGUAAUACCGAGGAUCCAACCUUAUCCGAAUCAUUGGGUUUAAANGGUCCGUAGGCGGGACAUA
rnacentral:rRNA from 1 species